AGCUAGUCCUUGUCAGGCCCAUGGCCCCCACAUUGCAAAUGAUGAAGUGACAUCGCAUUUAGACGAGCAGAGGUUGAAGUGGAAGAAGAGAGAGGAGAGAGAAGAGAGAAGAGAAUCGGAUACUCUAUGCCAUCGGCGCAUUUUAGCAGGCCGGCCGGCAUGAGCUUCGUUUCCGGCAAGAAAAAGACUGCCGGAGGUUCUUUCUCUGUAGUUUUUCUUUUAUUCCUUUUAGUAAUGAAAUUUCAAUCGAAUGCAUGGAGAGAUUUGAGUUCUGACAUAGAGAUCUAGGGCUUUUUUUUUUUUUUUUUUUAACGUGGUUUUAAACAAAGAAUUACAUUUUCAAGAGCUAUGCGAUUCUGAUAAUUUUGUUGAAAGAAUUGAAGUGUUUGUGAGGAAAAACAUUUGCAGAUUACUGGUGAAGAAUUAACAUUUUUACUUGCUGAAUAAUUUUCUUAAGAAUUGUGAAUAAUAUAUUAAGCUAUCUGCUAAUUAUGCGUGAUCUCAAGCAUUUGAGAAUAGAGGUUCCGAUUUGGCCAUGUUAUAUAUCCGCUAUUUUCAAGGAGGAAUUUUGACUUGGUUGCAAAAGGAAAGGCCAAAAAUUGACAGAGUUGAAGCAAAAGCAAAUUGUUUCCGCAAAGUUGAAAGCUUCAUUUAGGUUAUUUAGGUGGAGUUUUCUUUAAUUUGGAGUUCAAAAUCUGAAUAGGAAGCUAUGCAGAAGUUUAAUUGAGACUUCAGAUUUAACAUAAAAAUUGAUUAUUUAUUUAUCAUUAUUUUCUUUUACAUUUGGAGAAAAUAUUUGAAAAUAAGACUUAAAUUGAAAAAUGAUCUGUGCUAAAACAUCUGAAAUAUAUUAAGAUUUCAGACAAAGAAAACAAACAAACAAACAAACAAAAAACAAACAGGCCCUUAAUGUUAAAUGCUAAAAUAACAUUGAAUUGUGUCAAAUUAGGAGAUGUAUAAUUCAGAAUAUUGAAACUUCCCACUUGUGCAUAGUGGCAGAGAAUAAGUGUUAAAACAAAGUUCUACUAGUUAUACUGAUACACUGUUUUUAUAUAGCAUGUGGACACUAAAUUUGAGUAGGCAUGGGCUGAUGGCAGCUGCUCGUGAUAAUCUUUGGCCUGUGAAAACCUUGUAACAUAAAGUGUUAUGGAAGAGGUAAAAUUUAUGUUUCCUGAUGUUAUGCCCAUUAGGAAUCAAGGUUUGUUCAACAUGAUAAAUCUGAACUUAAAUAGGGUAGCAUGUGAGGACUUGCAUACUAUGAGGGACAAUUUGUUGAAAGAAGAAAUGGAAUAACUAAUGAGAGGAAAUAAAUGUUGAGGGUUUGGUUAGAAGAAUAGCAAUGAGACUAGUAAGUAAAAUUCUUACCUAUAUUCACUUUCUUCUUUUCCCAAACCAAUUUAUCAGAGCUCUUUGUUAUUUAAAAGGUAUUGUCAUUCGCAAGCUACAAUGCUUUGUUCCGAAAAAGGGAAUCUUCAUGGGACUAAAUAUAUGGGAUAAGCUCCACAUUUGUCUGACCUAAAGAUGUUCUGAUGUUGAUGUGUUUUUGUUUCAAGGAUCAGUGAGAGUAAUGGCUAAUGACUUUAUUAGAACAUGGCAUCAGGUUGAAAAAUUGUAUUGGUUAAAACCAUAGCUCAAGGGAGUGGCUCUGCAAAUUCAGACACUUGCACAGAUAUAUACCAGAGGCACCUGGCACGUUGCUGCAUGACAUCUUUCACCAUGGUGGAAAAAUUUGGGAACUGUAGUUUCCUUCUUUACAUGUAGUGGCUCCAUUUGUUAUACAAGUUUUUUUUUUCACAAAACAAAGUCAUGAAAAGGGAUAUGUCAAUUUGAUGGAUCCUGUCUAUCAUUUGAUUGAUAAGGGGCUGAGCUAUGUUAUUGAUACAUCUGCACAAGAAUCUGAAAUCAAUUCAGUUGCCUCCCCCUCUGUUAGGGCCUUUUAAUUUAAUCUGUUGUUUCCCUGUAAAACAGUUAACUUGAGAUGAAUGAGGUUUCUAUAUAUUUCUUGCAGAGUGGCACCUCACGAAUGAGGGAUCUACUUCUUCAUAACACCAGACAGCCUCAGCAGGCCUAGCAUUGUUACCAUAUGCUGGAAGAAACACAAUCUGUGUCUGUCUCAUUGGAUGGUUCCAGAUAUACACUGUUUUGACAUUGGAGCUACUGUUUGUUGUCUUGCUCUUAUAGUCAGCCUAUCAAUCUUAAUAGAACAUUUACAGCCAUGAUAUUUCUGAAAUUGACUAUUAUCUGAACCUUUCUGGCAUUGAAGUAGACACAGGCAAAUGGUGGGAGGCCAUGAAAGGUGUCAACAGGGUUAUGGCCCAGAUGAACUUGCCAAUUGCCAAUCACUGCAGAUGAUAAGCAAAAGUUUGAGAGGCAGAAUGACAAGAUGAGAAUGGUGGUAGUCUUUUCUCCCUCAUAAAAUUUGAAUACAAGAAAAGGAGCUUCACUUCAGAAAACAAGAAAAAGACCAGCUAUGCAACAUUCGUGAGUCUGUCACUCAAUGCUAUACAACCUAAUGUCUGGAAUGGUGGAUAGUUGUUUUUGUUGAUGUUUUUUGUUUCCUGUUUCAAGCAAAGAUUGCAUUCUAAGAGUCCAUAACCCUUGAUGCAUCCUGGUACAUUUGAACAAAGAGCUAUUUAUAUGAACAUUCUUUUGCAUCUACAA